GACGAACGCUGGCGGCGUGCUUAACACAUGCAAGUCGAACGGAAAGGCCUGCUUUCCCUUGUGGAUUGCGGGUACUCGAGUGGCGAACGGGUGAGUAACACGUGAGUGAUCUGCCCCCAACUUGGGUAUAAGCCUGGGAAACUGGGUCUAAUUCCCGAUAGGACUGCAGGGUGGUGCCUGUGGUGGAAAACGAUUUUCUAGUGGUUGGGGAUGAGCUCGCGGCCUAUCAGCUUGUUGGUGGGGUAAUGGCCUACCAAGGCGGCGACGGGAAGCCGGCCUGAGAGGGUGGACGGCCACAUUGGGACUGAGAUACGGCCCAGACUCCUACGGGAGGCAGCAGUGGGGAAUAUUGCACAAGGGGCGGAAGCCUGAGGCAGCGACGCCGCGUGGGGGAUGACGGCCUUCGGAUUGUAAACUCCUUUCGACCGCGAGGAAGCCACCUGGUUGGAAGGGUGGUGACGGUAGUGGUAGAAGAAGCACCGGCUAACUACGUG
rnacentral:rRNA from 1 species